UUUUAAGAUCUUUUAAGACCUUAAAAUUUUUAAGAACCUUGGUAAUAUUUAAGGUUCUUAAAAAUUAAUUAUUAAAAUUUUAUGGGUAAUAGGAAUUCACAUUAAAGUUUUAUAUUUAAAUCUUUAACACAUAUUAUCUAAUUAAUGAAACUACUUUAGAUAAUUAUACAUGUUUAGUUAAAUAUAUUUGGAAGCUCAUAUUACACAUGCUACAAAAGUAUUCAAAGACCAUGUUUUACAUUUAAUAGCAAGGUUUAAUACAAAAAAAAAGAAAAAAAAGAAAAAAAAAGAGAUAAUUCUUUAGAUUUUACAUAAAUACCUUAAAAAUUGAGAACCACUUUCAGAAAAUUUGUAACAUUUUUGAUAGCUUUUAGGUUUGUGAAAGAUCUUAGGAUUUCUACAAGAAUGUAAUU
rnacentral:lncRNA from 1 species